AAUAAAACAUUUUGUCAUUUUAAUAACUGUGGAAAGUCAGACAGCACUGGAACUCUGUCUAAUGAUUGCAUUACCCAUAAGAAAACUUUGAGCUUAAGAGUAUUAUUAAAGGGAGUCUAUUAAAACUCUGUUUCCAAAAUGUGAAAAGGACCGUAAACCCACACAGACCCUAGUGGCUUCAGUGCGAUUUGAUAUAGGUGAUAUAGGUACAAGAUACCACUGAGUUAGAAGGCUCCAGGGAUACCUCACUGUGGCCUUCCAAUACUUGAAGGGAGCAUAUAAACAGGAGAGAGAAUGGCUGUUUACGGGGGUGGAUAGUGAUAGGACAGGGGGGAAUGGUUUUAAACUGAGACAGGGGAGGAUUAGGUUAGAUAUUAGGUGGAAGUUUUUCACUCAGAGGGUGACGCACUGGAACAGGUUGCCUGAGGAGGUUGUGGGUGCUCCAUCCCUGGAUGCAUUCAAGGCCAGGCUGGGUGUGGCUCUGGGCAGCCUGGUCUGGUGGUUGGCCACCCUGCACAUAGCAGGGAGGUUGAAACUAGAUGAUCUUUGAGAUCUUUUCAACCCAGGCCAUUCUAUGAUUCUAUGACUUAUCCUGAUUUGCUUAUUUAUCCAUUCCAGAUCAGGGACCUUAGUGUUGAAAAAUCUAUUAUGAGAUUGUUGGUUUUUUUCUGUGGUUUUUUUUUUUUUUUUAAUUUGAGAUGAUUUUCUCUGAAGCUGAGCACUAACAACACAGAAACUGGUUUGGACCUUUGAACCCCUGUAAAAAGAGAAAAAGGACAAUUGAUUCCUCCUGACAUCUUCAAAUGGCUGAAUCUGUUCGGUAUUAAAGCCCUCCUGUAUUGCUGGAGUAAGGAAAAGAAACCAGCACCUCUACGUGCGGUAUGUGUGAUACUUCCACCUGUGAUACCUCACCUGAACCUAUCUUGCAAUGUAACUGUAGUGACUCCAGUUAAAUCAACGAGAAAAUGACUGAGCUUAACUUUGAGGCAAUUGGACUCAUUUCAGCAGUGGUGAAGCUCAAGAACGUCCAGGCUGGUAUUAAAAUAGCCAUGCCUCUACCAUUACUAUGUAUACAGC
rnacentral:lncRNA from 1 species